UACGUAGGGGGCUAGCGUUGUCCGGAAUUAUUGGGCGUAAAGAGCUCGUAGGUGGCUCGGUAAGUCGGGUGUGAAAUUUCGAGGCUCAACCUCGAGACGCCACCUGAUACUGCUGUGGCUAGAGUCCGGUAGGGGAGCGUGGAAUUCCUGGUGUAGCGGUGAAAUGCGCAGAUAUCAGGAGGAACACCAGCGGCGAAGGCGGCGCUCUGGGCCAUUCCUGACGCUGAGACGCGAAAGCGUGGGGAGCAAACAGG
rnacentral:rRNA from 1 species